ACUCCUACGGGACGCAGCAGUAGGGAAUCUUCCACAAUGGACGAAAGUCUGAACCAGCCAAGCCGCGUGAGGGAAGACGGCCCUAUGGGUUGUAAACCUCUUUUGUCGGAGAACAAAACCCGGGACGUGUCCCGGACUGCGUGUAUCCGAAGAAAAAGCAUCGGCUAACUCCGUGCCAGCAGCCGCGGUAAUACGGAGGAUGCGAGCGUUAUCCGGAUUUAUUGGGUUUAAAGGGUGCGUAGGCUGUCCGUUAAGUCAGCGGUAAAAUUGCGGGGCUCAACCCCGUCGAGCCGUUGAAACUGGCA
rnacentral:rRNA from 1 species